GUCGGGAGUCUUGCACAAUGGGGGAAACCCUGAUGCAGCGACGUCGCGUGUGGGAUGAAGUAUUUCGGUAUGUAAACCACUUUUGCGGGGGGCGAAAAAAAUGACGGUACCCCGCGAAUAAGCCCCGGCUAACUACGUGCCAGCAGCCGCGGUAAUACGUAGGGGGCGAGCGUUGCUCGGAUUGACUGGGCGUAAAGCGCGCGUAGGCGGUCCAUUAAGUGUGCGGUGCAAUUCGGAGGCUCAACCUCCGUCCCGCCGCGCAAACUGAUGGUCUUGAGAUUGGGAGGGGGAUGCGGAAUUCCUGGUGUAGCGGUGAAAUGCAUUGAUAUCAGGAGGAACACCGGCGGCGAAAGCGGCAUCCUGGCUUAUAUCUGACGCUGAGGCGCGAAAGCGUGGGUAGCAAACGGGAUUAGAAACCCUGGUAGUCC
rnacentral:rRNA from 1 species